UUGAUCUCAUUAGUCCAGAAAUCUCCGGUGGCUGGGUUGAGGAAGUCGGGGAAGUAGGUCUUCCCCGGCCAGACCUGCCCUUCGUAAGGCACGCCAUCGCGCUUGAUGUAGAUGUCGGCUUUCAAUCCUCUCUGAGGAAGCAUUCUUGAAUGGAAUUUAUAUAUGUUUACCGGGAUCAACAAUGACGACAUAUUUCUGACCGUUUUUAUGGAGUUGAUCGACGAAUUUAUUCAUUUCAUCUUCAGGAAAGUUAAGUGGAUCGAGAGUGAAAUCUUUGUAUUUAUCCAUGUAAUCAAUGUCGGUCCACAUCGUUUCUAAUGGAAUGCUAGCGUUUGCAUAGCCAGCCACCACGCCUUCCACGUCAUGAACAUCUUUGUAGCCAUAUCUACAUUGGUGAAACCCUACAAAACACAGUUCAAAACAAAAAACUCAUACCUUAAUCAGAAAAACAUGAAACUGAAGUGAAGCAUGCUAACCGAAAGACCAGUAUGGCAUGGGGGCAGGGCGGCCGAUGAGAUGGGUGUACUGUUCCAUCACCAGCUCCGGAGUCGGCCCGGCAAAGAAAUACAGAUCAAGAAUCCCUCCGAUCACCUUGUACGUGAUCCGGUCACCGGAGUAGACGACAUCCAUGCCAUUACUAUUGAGCAGCAAAACGCCGUGAGUGAUCCCAUUAGGCCUCACAUCCAUGUAAAAGGGGUGCGAUCCAUACAAAUUGAGAUCGGUGUUCAAGCUGCCGAUGUCGGCGUUCCAGAGCGUCAGCGUCUGGCCGGGCUGGAGCUUGAAGGAGCCCUUCGUGUGCUCUCCUAUGCCGUACAGAUUGGAGGCAUUGUUGGUCGGAAGAGACGACGAGAGCUGCAGGUAUUGGUCCGUGAAGACGAGGUACGUCCAGGAGUUGUUGUUGCUCGGCGUGGCGUUGAAGAGGGCGUCACCGGAGACGCCUCUGCGGCCCACAGCGAAGCCGAAAGGGGUGGUGUUUUGGAGGGUGAAGGUGAGAUCGGAGCUGGGGUCGGAGAGCAGCGGCGCAUGCGGUGUUGAGUGGUUGUCGGGGCGGUGCGGCCGCGGGAGGAUGUCGUCGGGGACUUCCCAACGGGUGGCGUUGGCGUCGGUUAUCGUCACUCGGAGACGGUCUUUCGUUUCCAAGCUGCAAAGUGCAUGAGUGGAAUUCUUCAUACAUAAUUAUUCAUAAUUCUUCAUACAUUUUUUUUUAGAGGCAGCAUCCUACUAUAGCCAAAACUUUUUAGUUAUAGGAAAUUCUAGUCAUAUAAAUAAAAAUAUAAAAAUAAUACUCCUUUUAGUG